UUCUCACCACAACCGCUCUUAUUAAGGUUAAAGAACAGGUUUUCCAAGAAAACCGACCUAGGUAGGCGAGUCUGGGUUUGAGG
rfam:Gracilibacter sp. BRH_c7a BRHa_1007027, whole genome shotgun sequence.